CCUACGGGAGGCAGCAGUGAGGAAUAUUGGUCAAUGGGCGGAAGCCUGAACCAGCCAAGUAGCGUGCAGGAUGAAGGCCCUACGGGUUGUAAACUGCUUGUAUACGGGAAUAACGCGCCUUACGUGUAGGGCUUUGCAUGUACCGGAUGAAUAAGGACCGGCUAAUUCCGUGCCAGCCGCCGCGGUAAGACGGAAGGUCCGGGCGGUAUCCGGAUUUAUUGGGUGUAAAGGGCGCGUAGGCCACAGGUCAAGCGUGCUGUGAAAUGUCCGGGCUCAACCCGGGCCUUGCAGCGCGAACUGGCGUGCUUGAGUCCGCGGAAAGCAGGCGGAAUUCGUCGUGUAGCGGUGAAAUGCUUAGAUAUGACGAAGAACCCCGAUUGCGAAGCCAGCUUGCUGCAGCGGAACUGACGCUGAUGCUCGAAAGCGCGGGUAUCGAACAGGAUUAGAUACCCGGGUAGUC
rnacentral:rRNA from 1 species